UUCGUUGGCCAUGUUCUGCUUGGUGGCAUCAACUGGAAUUCUGGAUAUGCUGCAUUUAGUGUAUUUGUUUAUUAUGUUUUCCUUUGUAUAUGAAUGCUGCAGCGAACUACAUUGGCCAGUGUUCAGAGCACUGCUACAUUAUGCCAUGAGAAAAUGCCUUGUUUUUUUGGUUAUGGAUAGUGUUUGUGACUUUAGCUCUUGAUAGAUAUACCACAUCAACACAUAUUGUUCCCUUGCUUGUUUAGAGCCUUCUUAUUGCAUCAUGCUUAUCCAUGAUAUGUUAUCUAUCUAAUCUGUAGUUUUGCAAUAUAAUGUCUUUUGAUAUUUUUGUAUCUUCCCUAAUGUUUGCACCUUUUUAGAGAAAUGAGGCUGAUGUGCCCAUGGAUCGACGACCAAGCCUCUCAAAAAGGUUGCAGGCAAGAGGACUCGCCAAUUCCCGAAGGAAACUACUAGAAAGCUUUCCAUAGGUGGAUACGAUGAAGAGGAUGGUGCUGAUGCCUACACAGAUGGUCCUGAUAUACCUUGAUCCGAUGAAGAUGCCAUCUAGACAAAAGAUAAAGGAUCUUUUGCUUUUGUGCUCCUAGAAACUAUGCAGUUGAUACUUUUUUUAUCAACUUCUACCUUCCAUCCUGGUUGAUGAAACUUUGUGUUUUUGCGUCUGUUAAAACAUUGUAGAGGACAUGUUGGUCUACUUCUACCUUAUCCUCUGUAGUUAUGCUUGUCUUGUGUACCUGGAGCAUCUUGUUGACCCCCUUGACUUUGGGCCUUCAGUGAUAGUAUCAGGACCC